CCCUGACUAGCUCUGUUGGCAGAGCAUGAGACUCAUAAUCUCAUGGGAGGGGGUUAGUGUCCCAUGUCAGGUG
rnacentral:tRNA from 1 species